CACGUAGUUAGCCGUGGCUUUCUGAUUAGGUACCGUCAAGACGUGCACAGUUACUUACACAUUUGUUCUUCCCUAAUAACAGAGUUUUACGAUCCGAAGACCUUCAUCGACUCACGCGGCGUUGCUCCGUCAGGCUUUCGCCCAUUGCGGAAGAUUCCCUACUGCUGCCUCCCGUAGGAGUCUGGACCGUGUCUCAGUUCCAGUGUGGCCGAUCACCCUCUCAGGUCGGCUACGUAUCGUUGCCUUGGUAAGCCAUUACCCCACAACUAGCUAAUACGGCGCGGGUCCAUCUAUAAGUGAUAGUAACAAUCUUCUACUUAGUAACCACUGCGGUUCUAAUAAUUAUUACCGGCAUUAGUACCCGGUUCCCGGUACGGUUAUUCCACGUCUUAUAGGUAGGUUACCCUACGUGUUACUCUACCGUCCGCCGCUAACGU
rnacentral:rRNA from 1 species